rnacentral:misc_RNA from 1 species
GCGGAAGGAUCAUUUACACUAAUUGUGAUUUAUCACAAAUCCAUUCAUCAAUGCAAUCAUUGUGAAGUUGUCUUCGGAUAACUUCGAACUUCUUAUUCUCUCUUUGCUUCAUGUUCGGCAUCUUCUACUUCGGUGUUGAUGGUGUUCAUGUUGACUUUCUUGGGUUGGGCAUCUCCUUCUUUCGGGAUUGAGGUGUUCAGCCCAUUUUUUUUACCCUGGGGUGAAGUGUCUUCUUCGGGAGUUCACAUCACUCAGCUUCCACUUUAUGACUGGAUUCUGUGCGACAGUGUUUGAAUGUUGUCUUUUGUGGACUUCAUGUACUCAAAUUACAACUUUCAGCAGUUGAUUCCUUGGUUCAGACCUCGAUGAAGGGCACUGCGAAAUGUGAAUGGCAUUGUGAAUUGCAGGCAUCCGGGAAUUGAGAGCUUCUUGAAUGCAUACUGCUCCAGCUGACUUGUCAGUUGGAUAAUCUUCCUCAGGGACUAUGUACCCAUUCGAUGCUUCAUUGCUUUGUCAGCUUCAAUUUCCUUCGGGGAUUGUGGGUGAUGGUGAUGAACUCUUGCACAUCAAGCUUGUCUUAAUGUGUUGAAUUAUGAUCUUCGACUGCAAUGGUGAAUGGAGGGGUAGCGCCCAAUAUUUUCGUU